UACGUAGGGUCCGAGCGUUGUCCGGAAUCAUUGGGCGUCAAGCGCGUGUAGGCGGCCCGUUAAGUCGGAUGUGAAAGCCCGGAGCUCAACUCCGGAACUGCAUCCGAUACUGGCGGGCUUGAGGCAGGUAGAGGAGAGUGGAAUUCCCGGUGUAGCGGUGGAAUGCGCAGAUAUCGGGAGGAACACCAGCGGCGCAGGCGGCUCUCUGGGCCUGUCCUGACGCUGAGACGCGAAAGCAUGGGGAGCGAACAGG
rnacentral:misc_RNA from 1 species